rnacentral:tRNA from 1 species
GUCUAUGUAGUAUAAUUAAUUACAUUGGUCUUGUAAACCAAAAAAGGGGAAAAAUAUUCCCCCAAAGACUC